GUCUUGGACAUGGUGAAGAAUUAAUUUAUCUGUUUGGAAAAUCAUUUGCCAGAGAAGUCUUAGGACGCGAUUUCACAGUCCAGGAGGAAAUUAUGAGUGCUACUAUACGAAAAAUUUGGCACGAUUUCAUAAAGAAUGGAUUCAUCCAUCACAAUAAUCACAACGCUGGAGGUAUGAAUCGGGAGUUUCAUCAUAAGAAAGCGACACACCAUUUUGUCUUUCAGUUGCCAGACUUUUUUCAACUCAAAAGAGGAGAAGUAUCACCACGCAUUACAAACUUUGAGGAGGGAGUGCUAAAAUACUCGAAUGCGCGCCGAAUAAGUUUGUGGAAUGAUUUUUUACCGAAAUUUUACAACAGCAGCACGCAUGUAGAAUUAUCAAAGUGUGAGUCCAUAAUUACGAGGCUAUCACUUCAAGCUGAUCAACCAUAUCGCAGUGUUAUGUAUACUCUACUUGGACUCGUAAUAGUACUUCUUUCAUUCCUCACAAUUUGCAUUAUUCUUCUCAAACGAACUAAAACAGAGAAAGAUCUGACCUUUUUUCGACAGCAGAUGGACUAAACAGAGACAGCGGAGGGUUCCACUUUACUCCUGGCAUUAUCAUCUUACAACACAAAAAUUUUUAUCACACGUCUGUCUGAACGAUAAUUUUUGCACAGAUCUUUGCCUUUUGGAAAUGAUUGAUGAUAUAAACCCAUAAUUCAGGAAAACAAUAUUCUCACCUACAGUGAUAAUUAUAAUUUAAGGUGUCCUGCUGGUAGUAAACAUCCUGAUCCAUUGGUAAAGAACCGAGAUAGAAAUUUUCUGCAUCUUAAACUUUAACCAGCCACUACUCUAAAAUAGUAGUGAAGAGCAAUCUACAGUUUUCGCCAAAAAUUGUCUCUAUGCUUUUUCCAACGAGGGAUUUUACAAAGAGGGCUCCCAUUUCAAAGUAAGUUGCUCCCACUGCCGACCCUGAAGGACGGGGGCUUACUGCCCCCAUAAAAAGUCGACCCUGAAUUUACUUGCGGAAGUUCUUUUCAAAUCGCAAGUCGAUAUUCAUAACUGGUUUUCAUAAAUUAAUAAGUAUCCAUACUUUUUUUACGCCCUGUAGAAGUAAUCCCCAAUGCCUAAUUUGAAUGACUACUGAUGAUCAGUUGGCCAGUCAUGCAAAUAUAGGGAUGAUUUGGAGCCCAGAAUAGGACUGCAAGAAGUGGAGAAACUUCUCCCUCCUCCAAUGAUGGCUCUUUUUUCUCCAUGAAAUUGGAAAUACUUAUAAAUUGGACAAGUUUCAUUCUUUAUUUGAUGAGGAAAACUUUUUGUAAACAAUUACAGUGGCAUUCUUGGUACUUCAGGGACAGUAAAUUCAUGUGUUCUUCGUAAUAGAAUUUUGGGAACACAGGUGAUCCCUCGUAACUUGAACAGUAAUACUUAAGUUGAUCCAUUUAAUAGUCCAUUCUCUACACAAAAAAACACUGCACUUUUUGCUUGGAAUAUGCCGCUUUCAAGGCUCAUUGGUAGUGUCCUCAGGAUACCUGGAUGCUUCCCUAAUUGAGUGUCCCCAGUAGUUUCCAUUGCUAUAAUAUGACAACAAUGGUUAAAUCACAUUUUUCUCUCAUUCACCAUACUAGUGCCGACUAACACACACACUAUUUUCUACAUUAUUCUGACUAAAAUAAAAUUAAGCAGAAUAUUCUUCUUCUUCUUCAUCUUCUUCUUCUUCAUCUUCUUCUUCUUCUUCCCUGAACGACUAGGGCAUAGUCCUAUUUAUCAGGUAAUCCAGGAUCGAGCACAAACUAUAUAAAUAUUAAAAAUCUAAAAAUCACUACAAAUAAAGGACUUGUCAAAUCAAUAAAAACAGCAUAAAAUCUUCAAUCGUCCUUAGGAGAAAAGAGCCAGCUUUAAGCCCAUCUCUUGGGCGGUCGUCCAGGUAAUCUUUUCCCUAAGGGUUGUCCUAUCAUACAAAUUUUAGCUAGUCUCUCUUCAUCCAUUCGGUCAACUUGCUCCAACCACAUAAAUCUCCUCACACUGGUCCACACGGCUACGUCUUGCACCUCAAGAGCAUUCCGGAUGGACUCACUGGUUUGCCGAUCGCAAAGUGUAAAACCCGCAAUCUUUCUUAAGACUUUCAUCUCAACAGUGCGAAAUUGUUGUUUGGUGCGCUUUGUUCCAGCUCUAGUCUCUACGGCAAACGUUGACACCAGCCAAACGAUGGUCUUGUAGACCCUGACAGAAUAUUCAAUGUGCAAAUUACCCUAAUUUAUCUCAAAUUUGCGUGUCCCCUGUACCUGAUUCUGGACAUUAAACAGAUAUUGCAGCACAAGUGAUUACUUGGGAAAACUCCAUUGGAAAUGGAAGUUAAUACCUUUAGAUUUGAGAAAAAAAAUAGGUUUAAUUUUUGUUACUUCAUCGAUAAUUUUUUCACGCACUAGAAUCAUUAUGGCCAGCAACAGUCCAUAACAGUCAGGAGAGACAUGACAAUGAUGUCACAAGCUCUAAAUAAUUACCAUAAGGUUGACAUUUUUCCAAAUACGACCUUUUCUGUUUCAAUUGACUAGGUCACACGUCGAAAAUGGCAAAAAAAGUGAAAAUCGCAAAUUUUUGUGCAUAAUACACGCCAUUCAGGAUGCUAAACAAAAUGUGAUACACUGUAACUAAUAGGGCGUCAAGCAUACACACACACACACACACACACACCACAACACACCCUCACACACUAAUAUCAGCUCAUAAAAUACUUUCAAGGUGUGAGUUUUGGAAAAACUUGUCUUAUUCCGAUACUCUAGGAUGUGCUACUAAGAAGUCCGUGAAAAAAAACACCAACUUUGUCUUUACUUUUAAAGGUAAGCUUCGAAAACAACUUAUUUCUACUCUUUCCUGUUCCUUUUGGUCCUAUGUUUCCAUUCGGCAACAAUUGACAACUCAUUUACUGGUACAAUUGAGACUUGCUUGUCUAAGCCCUGUCGGUGUUCUAUUCAGCCCAUAUAAGUGAAAUCUUAAGUCUGAUUUUUUUUUCAAUGGAGAACUCGAAUUGUCCAAAAUUCGAAAAUCCAAGAUGGCGGACGUGGCCUAAAAUGCUACAUCGGCACCUAAUCAAUUGAUUUAAGUGAAACUUGGUAACUACAAGUACUUUUUGAUGGGAAACUCGAAUUUUCAGUCAAAUUUCCAAAAGGAAAAAAGCCAAGAUAGCGGACAGGGCUUAAAAUACUAUAUUGGCACCUUAUCAAUCGAUUUAAGUGAAACUUGGCAUCUACAUGUACUUCCUGAUGGGAAACUUGAAUUUUCAGUCAAAUUGCCAAAAUUCGAAAAUCUAAGAUGACGGACAUAGCUGAAAACGCCGUCUCGGUAAGGAACCAAUCGAUUUCAAUAAAACUGGACUGGAAAUACCUAGGUAUUCGGAAAAGAAAAUUAAUUGUAGUAGGGGUGCAAUACACGGUUUCCUGUGUAUUUAUGGCUGCGAAAUUAAAAAAUUCCUUCUUUUUUCCACUGUGCGCGGAUUUUCCUGGAAAAUUAUCUCUUCCGGAAAAGCUAGAUUUUUAAAAAAUUCCGAUUUUUCCGGGAAAAAUCGAACUGAUCCAGAAAAAACCAAGGUCAUUUUCAGAAUCAGCGCUACAAAACUACUCGGUAUCAGUUGGCUACUUUAAAAAAAAUGUUGACCAGUGUGAUUAUUAUGUUGAUGCAAUUCCUCAAACUUUUCCUGGCUUUAUCUCCACUUCAUAGGUAUAAAUGCCCACUCAAAAUUUUGAAAUUCGAUGAUUGUGAUCCAUUUCGUAUUGCAUUAUUCCAAGAAUUUGAAGCUUUUUCACGUGUUAAAGAAAGACAGUGCGCAUUUCAACAGACAGAAUUAUCGAAAAGACAAGCAAAAUAUGCCUCAGAUCUCAUUCACGAUGGAUUAAUUUAUCCACGACUUUUUUAGUUCUGCAACAUGUAGUAGAGUUAAAUUAUUUCAAUUAGGUAUGCUGUAAUUAAUGCUCGACGACGCUCUUAUUGUUGUAAUGUAAGUAAUUUCAGUCGUAAAUCGGCAACAAUGCACUGAAAAGUGCAAGGCGCACAUACUUGCAUUU
rnacentral:lncRNA from 1 species